rnacentral:lncRNA from 1 species
UGUUUUGGAGGACAUAGAAGCAUAUACCUACAUAAACACAUAAAGGAAUUAAGAAUAUAGCUAGUAGCAAAGUGCUUUUUCAAUGAGAUUAUGCAGUGACUGGUUUUAGACAGAAUGAGUAUUACAGAAGGUGAGGGAAAAGAAGUGAAGCAUAAAGACUGAUGGAGAAACUCAUAAAUACAUAUACAAUCACCAUCACUGGAGAGAUAGAUGGAGGCACAGAUAAGUAGAUACGUAGAUACCUAGGGUGAAUAACUAAUAUGUAUAUUCACAUCUAUAGCUAUAUCUAAGAUAGGAUAGAUCAACCUAUUGAUUUAACACACACACACACACACACACACAAAACCCCACCCCACCUCUAGUACCCUUCCAGCAAUUGGCCUCGGCCAAGACCCAUUGCCUGUGUUCUGGGUUAGAUCAAGAUGCCAAUUCAGUGAGACAAAGCGGGGAAGGCUGGAAUCCCUCAAUCCCUCUCUUCCCAAAGACACUGGUGAGAGUCCUGCCAUAGAGGAAAUCUGAGUCCCUUGCAGAGAGAACAACAGAAGGAAGCCAGAAGCCCCCAGUGCAAAAGAGGCAGAUUCCGCAGCGCUUGCAGCGAAGCACUCUCCAAACAUGUGUUUCUGUGGCUUCUGGCUCCGCCGGUGGGCUCAGCCUGGGCCCCGCCCCGGUCUCUGAGACGUCCGCGUGGCGGCGUCUUGCUCCACGCAGGCGCAGGCGGCCGCCACCUGAACGCGACGCCUCCGGCCGGCCCCGCCUGCCCCGCCGCGGCCCAACUUGACCGGAGUUGAGGUCCUGAGCGCCUGCCCCCGAGCAGCCGGCCCGCGGAGAGCUCUGCGCCGCCACCCCAGGUCCGGAACCCCUCCCCGCUCCUCUCCGCUCCCGCGACCGGAAAAGUUGGCGCGGGCGGCCGCCCCCCAGCCGUGCAGAGCGCUCUUCUCCCCGGCGCGGGGCCCUCGGUCCCCCGGCCCCCGGAGCCUGCGGUGGUGGCUCCUGCUGGGUCCUGCAGUACCAGAGUUCCGACCCCAGGGUCCCCUUACCAGCGGCUGCCAGGACGCACUCCUGCUCCUCCCUCCCCUUCCCAGAGCGCUCCCGGCACUGGGGCGGUGCGAGGCUUCCAGGAUGGAGGAACUGAAGCUGACAAACAGCAAGUUAGAGGGUGGCAAGGAACUCCAGCACACCAAAGUGCCCCGCCCGUCCCGACCGCCGCCACAGCCGGAUACUUGCUGA